rnacentral:rRNA from 1 species
AGAGUUUGAUCCUGGUUCAGAACGAACGCUGGCGGCAGGCCUAACACAUGCAAGUCGAGCGCUUCACUUCGGUGAGGAGCGGCGGACGGGUUAGUAACGCGUGGGAAUAUACCCAGUUCUAAGGGAUAGCGACUGGAAACGGUGAGUAAUACCUUAUACGCCCUUCGGGGGAAAGAUUUAUCGGAAUUGGAUUAACCCGCGUUAGAUUAGAUAGCUGGUGAGGUAACGGCUCACCAAGUCUACGAUCUAUAGCUGGUUUGAGAGGAUGAUCAGCAACACUGGGACUGAGACACGGCCCAGACUCCUACGGGAGGCAGCAGUGGGGAAUCUUGGACAAUGGGCGCAAGCCUGAUCCAGCCAUGCCGCGUGAGUGAUGAAGGCCUUAGGGUCGUAAAACUCUUUCGCCAGGGAUGAUAAUGACAGUACCUGGUAAAGAAACCCCGGCUAACUCCGUGCCAGCAGCCGCGGUAAUACGGAGGGGGUUAGCGUUGUUCGGAAUUACUGGGCGUAAAGCGUACGUAGGAGGAUUAGAAAGUUAGGGGUGAAAUCCCAGGGCUCAACCCUGGAACUGCCUUUAAAACUCCUAAUCUAGAGGUCGAGAGAGGUGAGUGGAAUUCCAAGUGUAGAGGUGAAAUUCGUAUAUAUUUGGAGGAACACCAGUGGCGAAGGCGGCUCACUGGCUNGAUACUGACGCUGAGGUACGAAAGUGUGGGGAGCA